AUGUCGGCGUCAGCUUCAGCGGCGGCGAACCAGCAGCCAAGCGGUGUUGUGUCAAGUACAACAUCAACAGCUACACAGGGAGAAGGAGCACAGGUUGUUCCUAGAUCAAAAGAUCCAGCAUGGAAAUAUUGCACAUGUCUGGACAUCAGCAAGAAGAACAGUCUAAAAUGCAUAUUCUGCGGUCAUUUGUCCAGCAAUGGCACUAGUCGAAUCAAAUUGCACCUUGCAUGCAUUCCUAAGUCUGGUGUGAAUCACUGUGAGAAAGUGCCAGCUGAUGUCAAAGAGGAGAUCCUUCAGUACUUGACAAAGAAGGGUGACAAAAAGGUAGCCAAGCUUAUGGAGCAGAAGAGACGCAGAAAUGGAGUUGACUUGAGCCACUCAGAGGGGGAAGAACAAGCUACAAGUGAUAAAGAUGGCCUAAACCAUUCUGCACUUGUGCUUCAGCCAUCGAGAUCAACAAGAAAUAAAUCUAAAUCUUCAAGUGGCCCUAUGGACAAAUACUGUGAAUUAACUCCCGAAGAGCUUGUUGCCGCAAGGAAGAGGAAACGUGGUGCUGACACGAUCCAGGGGAAGCUGACAACUGAGAAGAGAGAACAAAAAAGGGCUCGUGCUUGUGAGUACAUCUGUCAGUGGUUCUAUGAAGCUUGCAUUCCAUUCAACGCAGUCACACUUCCCAGCUUUGACCUCAUGCUUCAGUCAAUUGGACAGUGUGGUGAGGACUUGGACGGUCCUACUCCUUAUGAAAUGGGUGGCCCAAUAUUGAAUAAGAGGAAGAAAAGAGUUCAGGAGUCCUUCAAUGCACACAGGAAGACUUGGGAGCUUACUGGAUGUACAAUCAUGACAGAUGCAUGGACUGACAUAAGAGGAAGAGGGGUAAUGAAUCUUGUAGUUCAUAGUGCUCAUGGUGUGGUGUUUCUUAAUUCUGUGGACUGUUCAGCCGUGAAGAAAGAUGGGAAGUACAUCUUUGAGCUUGUUGAUAGAUGCAUAGAAGAGGUUGGUGAGAAGCAUGUAGUUCAAGUUGUGACUGAUAAUGCAAGUGUUAAUCAAGCGGCAUCAACCUUGUUGAAAGAAAAGCGCCCCAACAUAUUUUGGAAUGGUUGUGCUGCCCAUUCUAUUGAUCUGAUGUUAGAGGAUAUUGGCAAGCUUAAAACAGUGGACUCUACUAUUACACAAGCUAGAGCUGUCACUGUUUUCCUUUAUGCACACACUAGAGUUUUGUCUCUAAUGAGGGAAUUCCUUGGGAAAGAUCUGGUGAGGUCUGGCAUUACAAGGUUUGCUACAACUUACUUGAACUUGAAAAGCAUGCUGGACAACAAGAAAGAACUGCAGAAGCUAUUCAGAUCAGAUCAGAUGGAUGAAAUGGGUUACUUAAAAAAGGUGAAAGGACGUGAUUCAAACCGAAGUGUGCGCUCUGAAAAUUUUUGGACGGGAGUAGAACGUGCUGUCAACUUCUUUGAGCCUUUGGCUAAUUUUCUGCGGCGAAUGGACAGCGAUGUACCAGCUAUGGGUUUCAUAUAUGGCGCUUUUUUGGAUGCAAAGAAGGAGAUUGCAGCUAGAUUUGACAAUGAGGAGGCUAGUAUCCAGGAAGUGCUACACAUUAUUGAUAAGAGAUGGGACAACAAAUUGAAGGGGCCCCUACAUAGGGCUGGAUACUUCUUAAACCCAUACUACUACUAUGAAAACAAGAUGGAGAUUGAGUUGGAUGGAACAUUUAAAGAUGGCCUUGUUGCUUGCAUGGAGAAGAUGGUUAGAAGGAAGAUAUAA
rnacentral:rRNA from 1 species